AGAGUUAAGUGCAGCCAAGGAUGACUUGCCGGAAUUCGUAGACUUAAGCCAAACGGAGGGUUUUUGAUGGUUUGCGAUUUUCCGGUGAGUUGUUCUUGGCUAUAUUUGAUUCUCU
rnacentral:pre_miRNA from 2 species